rnacentral:lncRNA from 1 species
UUUGAUCAAGGUUGGAUCAUGGAUUCAUCAUUUAAUCAGGAGUUGGAAAAGUUACUAAAUUUAGAAAUAGUUGACUUUCCAUUUAAGGCAAGUUUUUAUGGUUGUUGCAUCCAUUUUAAGCCCAUUUACCACCAAGAUGCAAGCUCCAUUUGAAAAUUUCCCCAACAUGAAAGUUGUUCCUCUUGUUCCAAGCUUUCUAGAGAUAUAAAGUUUGUUCCAUUUGGAUUAAAAUUGAGAAAGUUAUGCUUGGUCAAAGUGAGACAUUAUUUUAGAACACUU